rnacentral:lncRNA from 1 species
UGGGUGGAAAUGGGAGUGGCACUACUCACUGUUACCGCUAGUGACCCACUAGCGAAGUUUUUGCUUUCUGUUCCCACAGCUUUAUGCUCUGCUGGCCCAGAGAUCUUAGUUCUGAAGAAGAAAUGCUUCAGCCAGCAGGCACAGCAAUGAUUCCAUUGAACUGGAAGUUAAGACUACCUCCCAGCUACUUUGGGCUUCUUAUGCCUCUGAAUCAACAGGCAAAACAAGAAGUUCUGAUGAUGGCUGGAGUGAUUGAUCCAGACUCCCAUGGGCAAAUUGGACUACUAUUUCACAGUGGAGUGGAAAAAGUAUGUCGGCAAUACAGGAGAUCCCUCAGGGUGUCACUUAUUAUUUCCUUGCCCUGUGAUUAAGGUCAACAGAAAACUACAACAACCCAAUCCAGUCAGGACUACUAACAGCACAGUCACUUCUGGAAUGAAAGUUUGGGUCACUCCACGAGGUAAAGAACCACAACCAGUGGGACAGCUCGCCUCCCGAAGUGUGCAUCUCUCUGCUCCUGACAGGCCUGAAGCUGCCAGUGUCACCACACACACACGGAGGACAGGUGGCAGGACACAUGUAUGGCCUGAUCAGCAGGUUCCAGCUCCACCCUGCCCUUCAGGCUGACAGACCAGCUCCUCUAAGGUCAGAGCCCAGCAUGCUCAGCUGAGCAGAACAUACGGUCCCUCCUUGGGAGCCUUUGAUAUUCUGGGCUGCAGCUGACUGAAAAGGACCAAAUUAUGACACCUGAUUCUUCAGGUCAGACACACCAAAUGGGGAGACCCAACUGAGACUUCCAGAGGCCUCGAGCAUGAAAAAAGAUUAUGAUUUCUUCCCUGCCAAUAUUUCAAAAUAAUAUACUAACAUGUGACAUAAGUAGACACUAUUUUGGGGCCAUCAACUAUCUGAUGCCAGAGAGCUUCCUUUGCCAUCCAGUUCCACUCCCCACUGCUCUGGGACCUGGGAAGGGAAAUGAACACACUGUUUCAACAAGUUCUCUUGUUCUUGGCUUCUGGUUGGGUUUAGCAAAUGGCAAACAGAGCAGGAGAUGAGAGGGAGGGAGGGAGGAAGGUAGAGUCCUGGGCUGGCUGUGGGUCUCUACCCCCUGCCCUCCCCACCCAGCCCUCUGUGUCUCCAAGUUCACGUUACCUUUCCAGGACCUAGGCCCCUCAGGCCAGGGAGGAAGCGGGGUUGCAGGGCCCUCUGUUAGUAGCCCAAGGACCCUGGACUAUCUUUUGUGGUUUCCCAGCACCUUUGUAACUAGUUCCCUUAUUAAACUCAACUUUGCUCAAUUC